rnacentral:rRNA from 1 species
UUAAGCGACUAAGCGUACACGGUGGAUGCCCUGGCAGUCAGAGGCGAUGAAGGACGUGCUAAUCUGCGAUAAGCGUCGGUAAGGUGAUAUGAACCGUUAUAACCGGCGAUUUCCGAAUGGGGAAACCCAGUGUGUUUCGACACACUAUCAUUAACUGAAUCCAUAGGUUAAUGAGGCGAACCGGGGGAACUGAAACAUCUAAGUACCCCGAGGAAAAGAAAUCAACCGAGAUUCCCCCAGUAGCGGCGAGCGAACGGGGAGGAGCCCAGAGCCUGAAUCAGUGUGUGUGUUAGUGGAAGCGUCUGGAAAGGCGCGCGAUACAGGGUGACAGCCCCGUACACAAAAAUGCACAUAUUGUGAGCUCGAUGAGUAGGGCGGGACACGUGGUAUCCUGUCUGAAUAUGGGGGGACCAUCCUCCAAGGCUAAAUACUCCUGACUGACCGAUAGUGAACCAGUACCGUGAGGGAAAGGCGAAAAGAACCCCGGCGAGGGGAGUGAAAAAGAACCUGAAACCGUGUACGUACAAGCAGUGGGAGCCUCUUUUAUGGGGUGACUGCGUACCUUUUGUAUAAUGGGUCAGCGACUUAUAUUCUGUAGCAAGGUUAACCGAAUAGGGGAGCCGAAGGGAAACCGAGUCUUAACUGGGCGUUAAGUUGCAGGGUAUAGACCCGAAACCCGGUGAUCUAGCCAUGGGCAGGUUGAAGGUUGGGUAACACUAACUGGAGGACCGAACCGACUAAUGUUGAAAAAUUAGCGGAUGACUUGUGGCUGGGGGUGAAAGGCCAAUCAAACCGGGAGAUAGCUGGUUCUCCCCGAAAGCUAUUUAGGUAGCGCCUCGUGAACUCAUCUCCGGGGGUAGAGCACUGUUUCGGCAAGGGGGUCAUCCCGACUUACCAACCCGAUGCAAACUGCGAAUACCGGAGAAUGUUAUCACGGGAGACACACGGCGGGUGCUAACGUCCGUCGUGAAGAGGGAAACAACCCAGACCGCCAGCUAAGGUCCCAAAGUCAUGGUUAAGUGGGAAACGAUGUGGGAAGGCCCAGACAGCCAGGAUGUUGGCUUAGAAGCAGCCAUCAUUUAAAGAAAGCGUAAUAGCUCACUGGUCGAGUCGGCCUGCGCGGAAGAUGUAACGGGGCUAAACCAUGCACCGAAGCUGCGGCAGCGACGCUGAUGCGUUGUUGGGUAGGGGAGCGUUCUGUAAGCCUGUGAAGGUGUGCUGUGAGGCAUGCUGGAGGUAUCAGAAGUGCGAAUGCUGACAUAAGUAACGAUAAAGCGGGUGAAAAGCCCGCUCGCCGGAAGACCAAGGGUUCCUGUCCAACGUUAAUCGGGGCAGGGUGAGUCGACCCCUAAGGCGAGGCCGAAAGGCGUAGUCGAUGGGAAACAGGUUAAUAUUCCUGUACUUGGUGUUACUGCGAAGGGGGGACGGAGAAGGCUAUGUUGGCCGGGCGACGGUUGUCCCGGUUUAAGCGUGUAGGCUGGUUUUCCAGGCAAAUCCGGAAAAUCAAGGCUGAGGCGUGAUGACGAGGCACUACGGUGCUGAAGCAACAAAUGCCCUGCUUCCAGGAAAAGCCUCUAAGCAUCAGGUAACAUCAAAUCGUACCCCAAACCGACACAGGUGGUCAGGUAGAGAAUACCAAGGCGCUUGAGAGAACUCGGGUGAAGGAACUAGGCAAAAUGGUGCCGUAACUUCGGGAGAAGGCACGCUGAUAUGUAGGUGAAGUCCCUCGCGGAUGGAGCUGAAAUCAGUCGAAGAUACCAGCUGGCUGCAACUGUUUAUUAAAAACACAGCACUGUGCAAACACGAAAGUGGACGUAUACGGUGUGACGCCUGCCCGGUGCCGGAAGGUUAAUUGAUGGGGUCAGCGCAAGCGAAGCUCUUGAUCGAAGCCCCGGUAAACGGCGGCCGUAACUAUAACGGUCCUAAGGUAGCGAAAUUCCUUGUCGGGUAAGUUCCGACCUGCACGAAUGGCGUAAUGAUGGCCAGGCUGUCUCCACCCGAGACUCAGUGAAAUUGAACUCGCUGUGAAGAUGCAGUGUACCCGCGGCAAGACGGAAAGACCCCGUGAACCUUUACUAUAGCUUGACACUGAACAUUGAGCCUUGAUGUGUAGGAUAGGUGGGAGGCUUAGAAGUGUGGACGCCAGUCUGCAUGGAGCCGACCUUGAAAUACCACCCUUUAAUGUUUGAUGUUCUAACGUUGACCCGUGAUCCGGGUUGCGGACAGUGUCUGGUGGGUAGUUUGACUGGGGCGGUCUCCUCCUAAAGAGUAACGGAGGAGCACGAAGGUUGGCUAAUCCUGGUCGGACAUCAGGAGGUUAGUGCAAUGGCAUAAGCCAGCUUGACUGCGAGCGUGACGGCGCGAGCAGGUGCGAAAGCAGGUCAUAGUGAUCCGGUGGUUCUGAAUGGAAGGGCCAUCGCUCAACGGAUAAAAGGUACUCCGGGGAUAACAGGCUGAUACCGCCCAAGAGUUCAUAUCGACGGCGGUGUUUGGCACCUCGAUGUCGGCUCAUCACAUCCUGGGGCUGAAGUAGGUCCCAAGGGUAUGGCUGUUCGCCAUUUAAAGUGGUACGCGAGCUGGGUUUAGAACGUCGUGAGACAGUUCGGUCCCUAUCUGCCGUGGGCGCUGGAGAACUGAGGGGGGCUGCUCCUAGUACGAGAGGACCGGAGUGGACGCAUCACUGGUGUUCGGGUUGUCAUGCCAAUGGCACUGCCCGGUAGCUAAAUGCGGAAGAGAUAAGUGCUGAAAGCAUCUAAGCACGAAACUUGCCCCGAGAUGAGUUCUCCCUGAC